CCUACGGGUGGCAGCAGUGAGGAAUAUUGGUCAAUGGACGGAAGUCUGAACCAGCCAUGCCGCGUGCAGGAAGACGGCUCUAUGAGUUGUAAACUGCUUUUGUACAAGGGUAAACCUGAAUACGUGUAUUCAGCUGCAAGUACUGUACGAAUAAGGAUCGGCUAACUCCGUGCCAGCAGCCGCGGUAAUACGGAGGAUCCAAGCGUUAUCCGGAUUUAUUGGGUUUAAAGGGUGCGUAGGCGGAUUGAUAAGCUAGAGGUGAAAUGUCCGAGCUCAACUCGGGAACUGCCUCUAAUACUGUUGAUCUAGAGAGUGGAUGCGGUAGGCGGAAUGUAUGGUGUAGCGGUGAAAUGCUUAGAGAUCAUACAGAACACCGAUUGCGAAGGCAGCUUACCAAUCUAUAUCUGACGUUGAGGCACGAAAGCGUGGGGAGCGAACAGGAUUAGAUACCCGGGUAGUC
rnacentral:rRNA from 1 species